CUCACCCAGAGGGCUGGGCCCAGGGAGGGAGCAGGUGCCCCCUCUUGUCCCUCUCUUCUCUUGCUGUCACCACAGUUGGCUGCUGCCACUCUGCAUUUACCCUGUGUGAUCAAGGGGUCUUGCUAAGUUGUUGAGGCUAGCUUUGAACCUGUGAUCUUCCUGCCUCAGCUUCCCAAGCCACUGGGAUUACAGACAAUUACUCCAGAAGUGGAUAUGCCUUCCCUGUCCUUGGGUCUUCUGCCAGCACCACCAUUCCUGGACUCAUGGCAAACCUUUUCGUGGCAAUCUGGACAGCCUGGUGUCUGACUGACUAACUCAUUUCCAGCAAAGGAAGAGCAGAAGUGGUCCCAUGUUCAUGGAAUUCAUUGGCCUUACUGUGUAUCCUAUUUCUCUAAAACUUUCCACCACCCCAUCCCAACCACCAUUGGGAAACACAUUCCAUGCCUUGUCCUUUCAUUAACAGCUUUAGGGCUUAAGAAGAGACAUAGGAAUUGGGGUCCCCUCCACAUAGGUCACAACCUAGGGCCAGGAAACUUUGUAUUCCAAGAAACAAGCUAUUUGGAAUCACAGAAUGUCUGAUGAAAAGUCCUUCCAAAUCCUUUUGUCCAAGUUCUUAUGUUAUAGCUGGGGACACAGACCAAUAGGGAGGUGGCUUGCCUGGAGCCACAUGGUAAAAGAGUGACUAUCCUCUCCUCAUUCACUCUACAUCUUGUCCCAGAAGUCAAGCAGGUUGGGAUCUGUGGGUUUAACUCCUCUGAGGGGGCCCAAAGAGCUGAGCAUCCUGUCUGUCCAUUCCUGGUAGUGGGGUGAACUAACUCCUAGUUCCCCUCGCUUGCUCCUCUCUGGCAGGGCCUCCAGGUCCCUCAUGUUCUUGCAGUCAAUUUCUGAUCCUUGUUCCCUCGUUGCCUCCCUUCUUGGGCUUACGCUCUCCUCACCCCAUCCUACUCCAUGUUUCACAGCUCCUUCACAUGCCCACAAAUCCCACUGCACAGCAUCAGGGCCCUGGCUGGGCUGGGCUACACCCACCCACAUUGAGAGGACAUCCUUAAGUUCUUGUUCUCCAGGAUAACCAAGGGCUUUCUCAUGGGAAGACAGUUCAUAGGGUACCUCUGGUUUGCAAGGAGUGGCAGCUCCUACUGACAAAAGCCUAGGAUGUGGGUAUUAGUAAGUAUGUAGAAAUGUUUCCUAGGAAGGAACAAUUGUGAGCAAGGAUCUGUGUCUGGUUGGGAUAUAUGCUGGGGGGAGGGUUAUCAGGAACCCCUGGGUGGAACAGGGGCAAGGAGAAAGUAGUGGGAAAAAGGAUAGGCAUAUCAUGGAGCCAACAACCUGACUGAUGACAGGUGUGUAGCACUGUCAUUGGGGCUGAGAAACGGGCUGGGAUGUUCAUAGAAUGGGAGAAGUAAGACUCUCCAAAGGUAGCAAAGAACCUCUAGAGUACACAUUUGCAACUUAUUAUUUUUCUUAGGUAUUGGGGGUUCAACCUGGAGGCACUUUACCACUAAGCCACAUCCCCAGCCAUUUUCAAAAUUUGUUUUAUUUUGAGACAGGGUCUCGCUAAGUCUCCAGGCUGGCCUUGAACUUGGGAUCCUCCUGCUUCAGGUCCCAUGUAGCUGGGAUUAUAAGUGUGUGCCACAACACCAGGCUUAUUGCCUUUAUUUUCUUCAUAGUUUUAUUCCAUUUGACCAUAUCCCUAAAUAAUAUAGUCAAUCCUGCAUGUUGGGUCUUAUUUCAUGUGGUAAAAUUCACAGAGCAUAAAACUAACCAUUUUAAAGUGAAAAUUUUAAUGGCAUUUAACACAUUAAUAAUGUUGUGCAACCAUCACCUCUAUCUAGUUCCAAACAUUUUCAUCACCUUGAAGGGAAACUCUGUAUCCCUUAAGCAAUCACUCAUCAUUUCCCCCCAGCUUUCCAACCACCAGUCUGCUGUCUCUAUGAAUUUGCCUAUUCUGGACAUUUCAUAUAAAUGGAAUUAUAAAAUAUGUGAUCCUCUAUAUCUGGCUUCUUAGUAUAAUGUUUUCUUUUUCCUUUUUCUUUUUGAUACCAGGAAUUGAACCCAGAGGCACUUAACCACUGAGCCACAU